GACGAACGCUGGCGGCGUGCUUAACACAUGCAAGUCGAACGGAAAGUCCCUGCUUUUGUGGUGUGCUCGCGUGGCGAACGGGUGAGUAACCCGUUAGUAACCUGCCCUUGACUUUGGGAUAACUUCAGGAAACUGGGGCUAAUACCGGAUAGGAGCUCCUGCUGCAUGGUGGGGGUUGGAAAGUUUCGGCGGUUGGGGAUGGACUCGCGGCUUAUCAGCUUGAUGGUGGGGUAGUGGCUUACCAAGGCUUUGACGGGUAGCCGGCCUGAGAGGGUGACCGGCCACAUUAGGACUGGGAAACGGCCCGGAGUGCUACGGGAGGCAGGAGUGGGGAAUAUUGCACAAUGGGCGGAAGCCGGAUGCAGCAACGCCGCGUGCGGGAUGACGGCUGUCGGGUUGUAAACCGCUUUCGCCUGUGACGAAGCGUGAGUGACGGUAAUGGGUAAAGAAGCACCGGCUAACUACGUG
rnacentral:rRNA from 1 species